GUCUUGGCUGGUUCGAAGACCACAAAACGCUUUCCAACAAGUUGCGUGGUUCAAAUACAAAGCCAAAAGCAAUUUUUGAUACGACGGUCUCUGAUCUUGAGCAUUCUCCAGCCAUUUCAGUAACUUUUACGUGCAAUUACAAAG
rfam:Drosophila mojavensis strain TSC#15081-1352.22 Ctg01_11601, whole genome shotgun sequence.